rnacentral:tRNA from 1 species
GCUUUCGUGGUGUAGUGGUCAGCACGCUCGGCGCGUAUUCGAGAGGUCCGUGGUUCGAUUCCCGGCGAGGGCA